AGGGGUGUGGCUCAGUGGUAGAUAGAGCACUUGCCUAACAUGCACAGGGCCCUGGGUUCCAUGCCUUGCAUCCCCA
rnacentral:tRNA from 1 species